AAGAGCCCCAUUAAGUGGAGAUGCUAUCAGACCAGGGUCACUUAUGGGACUGCUAAUGGACUGCUGACAGACCGGAUGAACAGAAGGCUUAGCUGCUUUAGAAUCUGCAAAUGAAUACACUAAUAAUCCUGUGAGAAGACGGCUUGGCUUUUUGGAGGACAAGUGCUAUGGGGUGGUAAGAGACUGAGGACCCCAAUCCUGGCCCUGGCAUUUAUCAGGCUCCAUGCAGUUGAAGAUGACUCAGUCCUCGGACCUUACUCAACUGAGUGCUGUACACUCACUGCUCUUUAGGUAAAAUUAAAACAAA